rnacentral:rRNA from 1 species
CCUACGGUGGGCAGCAGUGAGGAAUAUUGGUCAAUGGGCGCGAGCCUGAACCAGCCAAGUAGCGUGAAGGAUGACUGCCCUACGGGUUGUAAACUUCUUUUAUAAAGGAAUAAAGUGAGGCACGUGUGCCUUUUUGUAUGUACUUUAUGAAUAAGGAUCGGCUAACUCCGUGCCGGCAGCCGAGGGAAUACGGAGGAUCCGAGCGUUGUACGGAUUUAUUGGGUUUAAAGGGAGCGUCGAUGGGUUGUUAAGUCAGUUGUGAAAUUUUGCGGCUCAACCGUAAAAUUGCAAUUGAUCCUGGCAGGCUUGAGUACAGUAGAGGUGGGCGGAAUUCGUGGUGUAGCGGUGAAAUGCUUAGAUAUCACGAAGAACUCCGAUUGCGAAGGCAGCUUACUAAACUGCCACUGACAUUGAUGCUCGAAAGUGUGGGUAUCAAACAGGAUUAGAUACCCGUGUAGUC